rnacentral:misc_RNA from 1 species
AUGAAUAGAAUGCAGAGGAAACUAUGGAUGCAACGUGUUGGUUUGGUGUUGCAGCCACAGACAUCAUGCCAUAGAAGGUGUAGUACAAUAAUGUGAAGUACAUGAAGAAUAGGUACCAAAAGAACUUAGCAGCGGUCCAUUCAAAUCCAAUCAUUGCAUAGACUAUAAGGCCAUAUACCACAGCUUGAAAGAAAAUAUAUGGGAGCUCAAUCACAACCUGCGCAAAGGCAUAGGGCAAAGGGGAAUACAUUCCAGCAGCUCUUUCUCUGUAGAAGACAGUUCUUUCAACAGAAACUACUGGUUGCACAGAUGAAGCAUUUUGGAUUCCAAGGAAGACAAUUGCAGCAUACAUUGAUCCCAUUGCAUUGAAAAGAUCUUGCCGCUUUGUCGUUUUGGAGCCAAGGUCCCAGAACAUCGUUCCAAAAGUCAAAGCUAUGAC